rnacentral:misc_RNA from 1 species
GCAUUAUUUUGCUCAAGAAUUAAUGAGCUUGCAAAUUCGUUACUGUCGAGCGGAGGCGGCCGUUCGCCACCGGAAAUCGAGGCUCAAAUCCAAUAUAGAUCGAUCAGUAAAUAGACCUCGAGCCGGCACGAGAACCGCGUCACCGGCUGCUCGUGCUCUGUAGUAUUUGCAGCUUGCAAGCUCGUUGCAUCUCGCCUCCUGGCAAAGCUUAUCGUGACACCGUUUCGGCCGCAUUACGCCGGGCAACGGCCGGGCUGGGCCCGUGCGUCCGUCCUUCCGUCAUCAGCUUUAUUUCGCUUUAGUCGUCGUCUCACCAAUUCCAGCAGCCGUUCCGCGCGUUUCGGCCGCGAAUUUGCAGCAGCGAACGCAGUGAGCCCCGCACCACGUGCAACCCUCUCCACGCCACGCGCUGCAGCUAAUCAACCACCCACCCGACUCGCUUGGGAACUUAUACUCUCGCUAAAGCUCGGCCCGCCGCUCGGCAAGUAAUACACGAUACUACCCAGACAAGACCCACCGGCCACCUCGUCACUAUAUAUUCGGUUACCGCCACUUCCGGGUACAUAGCGCGGAUACGUAAGCCGACGAGACGCGGUUGAGAGCAAAGCGGAAGGAAGAGAUCGCUGUAUCGGAAAUCAUAUGUAGAACGUCAUGGCAAUCAGCAUAAAAUUUACAAAAUUCGACAAUACACCAUGGGGCUUUCGACUAGCAGGUGGCAGCGAUUUUCCGCAGCCGCUAACUGUUAUCAGAGUCACGGAGGGCAGUCUGGCCGAGUGCAUGGGUUUAAAAAUCGGUGAUGUCAUAGUAAGAUUAAACGAUCAGCCUAUUAGCAGUUUGACACACGGGCAAGCGCACGAAGAGCUAAUGCAUGCUGGCAAUAACUUCAUUCUAGCUAUACAAAGAGAGGAGGAGACACGAAAGGCUGCCGAGGCGAUAUCGGAAGAGAACAUCGUCCCAUAUAAGAUCGCCCUUGCAGAUCUACCACCAGUCUUCCCAGAAGAGAUCUUGAAGGAGGAGACAGUGAUCGAGCGGUACGAGGAAGAGAAGACCGUUGACGAGCAUACAGCGCCGUUGUCCGCCGAAGAAGAGCUCAGGCGAGAGGAGGAGAAGCUCGCGGAAGAGAAACCGGUGGACGCUAACAGCGAGAUCGUGCCCAACAAAAAUCUCACGGAUGACGAGAUCGCGCAGCUGAUUCUCGAGGAGGAGGAACUCUUGUCCGACCAGGGAUUAUUGGGAGUGAACUUCAAAAAGCUGCGACCGCGAGCUCCGAUCUUGAAAGAUUCGAAGGUCUUGGAGGAGCUGCAGAACAUCGCGACAGCCGAGCCCGAGCGGGUGCAGGAGUUAAAGCGCACAUCCACCUUCCUGCAGAAGCCGCAGCGACCGGUGCCGAAGUUGAAGUGCGAGCAGAAGGUCGAAGAAGACGACUGCGAGACGUACAAGGUCGUGAUUAAGAAGCAGGACAAGAAGACGGUGAUCGCGCGCCUCGUAGAGAAAGGUUUGCUGCCGCCAGGAUCGGAGGCGACCCUCGCCAGGACACCGGAACCGCCGGAGUUAUCCGAGACAAUAACUCCAGUCGUGACAUCAGAGCCUACAUGCAGAUCGAACCAAGAAAAGUCUAAUUCACGUCCCGCGUCAAAGACAGAAAGAGAAGAAAAGAGUGACGAGAUCGACAAGGUCAAAACAGAAGAAAGACCCGAGUCCAAAGAGGAGGAUCAUCGUCCUGAGUCUCGCGCGGCAGAAUCCACACCGAACGAGACAACAACAAUCGAAGAGGAUUCGAGCGUCUCGACGACGGAUCUGACGGCGAUAAAAGCUAAUAGUGAAAAGAUCAAGGAGCUGGUGUCCACGGAGUUCAAUCUCGAACAGCAGCUGGAAAACGUGCAGCGACAAUUGCUCGCGCUAAAGCAGCUACCGAACGAGAUCGAGAAUCACCUGAGAAUCGUGUCCGAGCAACUGCACAAGAUCAUGGAGCUGAGCGGCGUGCAGCGGUCCGCUGGCAACGGAAACGGCGGCCGCCGCGGGUCGUCAGAAGAGGAUGCCGCGCUGCGGGACGAGGAGGAUCCGAAAGAGCAGGAAGAGGACACCGAAGAGGACGAGGAAUUUACGGAGACUUACGAUUACAUCGAGGAGAUUGCGUGCUUGGAACGAAAGACGUCAACGAGGUCAACCCCGCAAGCAAUUGAGCCUAGCGAUGACGAAGGAGAAAUGGAGGAAGAGGAAGCAGAGACGAAGGAACUCGACGGUACGAUUUCCGUGAAGAGCGCGGACGAGGAAGGAAGUAGAGUGAAGAAGUUUAUCGUCUCUUACGAGACCAAGGUGUUGAAAUCGCCCAGUCCGGCACCGUCGCAUGCAAAGGGUGCACAAGAGAGGCAGACAACAUUCGCAGGACCUGUGGCCCCAGGCUAAGCAGCUUGAACUCACACAAGGCCGCAGAUGGAGAUGCCCGAAUGACUUUUUUAAUGACGAGAUGAUCGCAGAGGUAUUGUCCUCCCAGGCUGAAGUCAUUCGCGGCAAAGCGUUGGGAGUGAACUUCAAGAGAUACGAGAAGACGAACCUUCCAAACUAUGACUACCUAAUGAAUUCGAGCGUCUAUAAGAUGAUUCAUAAAAUGGAGCGAGAACCGAAAAAGGGCAUCCCGAGCAGACCCGCUAAAGUCAAUGCAGCGGAAGAC